AGGUGCUAAUACAUGCAGUCGAGCGGACAGAAGGGAGCUUGCUCCCGGAUGUUAGCGGCGGACGGGUGAGUAACACGUGGGUAACCUGCCUGUAAGACUGGGAUAACUCCGGGAAACCGGAGCUAAUACCGGAUAGUUCCUUGAACCGCAUGGUUCAAGGAUGAAAGACGGUUUCGGCUGUCACUUACAGAUGGACCCGCGGCGCAUUAGCUAGUUGGUGAGGUAACGGCUCACCAAGGCGACGAUGCGUAGCCGACCUGAGAGGGUGAUCGGCCACACUGGGACUGAGACACGGCCCAGACUCCUACGGGAGGCAGCAGUAGGGAAUCUUCCGCAAUGGACGAAAGUCUGACGGAGCAACGCCGCGUGAGUGAUGAAGGUUUUCGGAUCGUAAAGCUCUGUUGUUAGGGAAGAACAAGUGCAAGAGUAACUGCUUGCACCUUGACGGUACCUAACCAGAAAGCCACGGCUAACUACGUGCCAGCAGCCGCGGUAAUACGUAGGUGGCAAGCGUUGUCCGGAAUUAUUGGGCGUAAAGGGCUCGCAGGCGGUUUCUUAAGUCUGAUGUGAAAGCCCCCGGCUCAACCGGGGAGGGUCAUUGGAAACUGGGAAACUUGAGUGCAGAAGAGGAGAGUGGAAUUCCACGUGUAGCGGUGAAAUGCGUAGAGAUGUGGAGGAACACCAGUGGCGAAGGCGACUCUCUGGUCUGUAACUGACGCUGAGGAGCGAAAGCGUGGGGAGCGAACAGGAUUAGAUAU
rnacentral:rRNA from 1 species